rnacentral:lncRNA from 1 species
GGGCUGGAGGGCUGGCUCAGAGGUUAAGAACACUGACUGCUCUUCCAGAGGUCCUGAGUUCAAUUCCCACCAACCACAUGGUGUCUCACAACCAUCCUUUAUGAGGUGCCCUCUUCUGGUGUGCAGAUAUACAUGGGAGCAGAAUGUUGUAUACAUAAUAAAUAAAUAAAAUCUUUAAAAAAAGAUGUUAAAGGAAAAGAUGAAGACACAAGAAUAAAAUCAGGAGGGUGAAUCAGUCAAUACUGAAAUGCCACAAGUUCAUUUUUUACCACUCUUAUAUACCUUAACCAAAAAGGGGAACAUGAUGUUAUGCCCAGAUUGCAGAACCCCAAAAAUCCACCACUGAGGAAGUGACACACCAAAUGUAAAAACACAGGUUUCUUUAUGAUUUGCAACUCGGACCCUGCCCUUUUGGGAACAAGCAGAGUGCCAUUUUUUGUCUUUUGUUUUUUUUGGCUGAGGUUUUUUUUUUUUUAAAUAUUUUAUUUAUUUAUUAUUAUACAACAUUCCUCUUCCAUGUAUAUCUGCACACCAGAAGAGGGCACCAGAUCUCAUAACGGAUGGUUGUGAGCCAACAUGUGGUUGCUGGGAAUUGAACUCAGGACCUCUGGAAGAGCAGUCAGUGCUCUUAACCUCUGAUCCAUCUCUCCAGCCCCGGCUGAGGGUUUUUAAAGGGGAAAGUUCAAAAGACUGAUGUCCUCAGAUUACAGAGUUUUAUGGUUACAUAGGAUGAAACAAUAAUUGUAUGUUCAGGCAGGAAGCAAUUAAGCAGGAAGCUGUAGAGGAAAUAAGUUUGUUAAUUAUCUCCUGGGCAGGGACUUUUACAACUAUGAAUUGACAACUAUCUAUCUGAUCUUCUUUAGGAUGGAGAAAUGUUGACACAGCUGGGGGGUGUUAUCUGUUCCCAGGCCUCUGUACCCAGUUCUUUGUUUAGCCUUUUCUGUUGGGAUGCCUUUUUGGGAACUCAGAGAGGCUUAAGAGUUUUCCUAUUUGGGCUUUGGAGUCCAAGUUUUAGACUUUUAUUAAUUUUCCCAUUUUACUCCUUUCAAUGGUAUCAUGUAUGCAGAACAAACCUUUUCUUCCUCUUUUCUCGAAGGGUUCAGUAACCACUCCUUAGAUUCAACUUCUCCUUACUUAGCCUUGAGGGUCAGGAGUAACCACACCUCAGACCAGGUCUGUUGUUAUUUAUAAUAAGACAGCCAGGCUGGAGAGAUGGCUCAGUGGUUAAGAGCACCCUCUGCUCUUCUAGAGGGUCCUGAGUUCAAUUCCCAGUAACCACAGCCAUCUGUAAUGAGAUCUAGUGCCAUCUUCUGGUCUGCAGGCAAACAUGCAGGCAGAACACUGUAGACAUAGUAAAUUUAUUAUGUAGACAUAAUAAAUAAAUCUAAAAUAAAAAAUAAGACAGCCAAGGCCAAGUUCUAACACCCUUGUUAGGGGGAGGGACCUUUAUGGGAGGAACACCCUCAGCCAUGCCCUUGACCUUUAGGUCUUAUGACUAAGGACAGUUUUGCCUUUGAGCCAAGUUGGGGUGCAGCCAUCUUAUGGGCACCAACAAAUUCCCCCUUCUUAAUUUAAUUAAUACCUGUGCUUCUGCUACAGGACAGAUGACUGUGUCUGUCUUAGCUUGUCUUCUUCCACUUUCCAGCCUUACCUAUCAUCAGAACACACAUUCUGUCAUACGUGACCUGUCUUAGGUUUCCUGGAGGCAAAAAGAUCUUACCCGUCUUUGACCAACAGCCUCUGUAAUAAAAAUGUUAGGGGAUAGUGUGUAGCUUGAUGUCAUGCACCUCUGGGCCAACUUUUCAUUGAGAGUUCACAAGCAAGCUUGAUAAUGCUGAGCAAUACAUAUGCUUUUGUGGCUACAACAUCUAUUAAAGGAAUAAAGGAUGAUGGAAAUGAAAUGGCCUUUUAAAAUUGGUCUGGGAUGUCUGGAGUAGCUUUAGAUGUAUCAAAAUCUAAAUCUGCCUUUUUAAUUACAUUGAAUCUAAUGACUCAUAAGCAUCAUGUCAGAUUCCUAACAGAAAUGAGCUCUGACUUUUCAUCCAUUAACACUUACAUAGUAUGGCAAAGAUUACAAACAUUAAUAAUUCCAGUAUGAUUAUUAACAAUAGACACAUAAUUGGCAGGAUUACAAUUCUCAUAAUUUUAAAUCAAUCAAAGGACAGACAAUAAAAUGUUUUCAUGGUAGGUGAAGUAUGAAUAACUCUGCAAUUCUGAGCCUUUUCUUUUUCCCUCUCUUAAAGUCCAGUGCACUGCUGCUUGUAAUUUCCAAAGAUAAGUUUGAGACAAUACAGUCCUUGAGUGCUGAAUACCAGCUGCAAAACUUUUGUCCAUCCCCUUUUCAUAUAUUGAGGAUUUUUUUGCCACAUCAUUUCUACAAUAGUGUCCAAUUGUCCUUCCCCAAGAGGAAGACUGGCAAAGAGGAGUUCUGUGUCCCAAGAUGUAAUGUGGAUAAACUGCCAGACAUUUCAUUUCUUGUCAGGAUCCAGGAUAAAACUCACAGAAGUCUGGGAAGUUGAUGCAGCAGGCUUGUUGAGAAACUGGAAAUCUCCAACCAUAGUCUCUUUUCCUUCUCGGACUGAAGAAGGAUGACAUCAGAGGGCCAGGCACACAGCCUCAGCAGAUCUCACUGGAAUUCGUUUGGGCGGGUUCCGCAGUCACAGGUUCCUCUGCUCCACACAUCUCACCAGGCGUCUGGCAGCCACUGAGCCUCCUUUUCUUCCUUUGAGAAAACACAAAUAUGCCCUCAACACCAUAUUAAAACAGGAGUGGAUUCUUUCCAUAGUCUAGUGCAAGGAGCUUUCCAUUUGGUUUGAGCAAAAGUCACUCGAGUUCUAUCAUGCCAGGAUCUAUCCGCGGCAGAUUGCUCACGGGCAUCCACAUUCAGAAAAUUUAAAAUGCAGAGUGCGUGAUUUAAUGCAUUAUGUGGAGACUGGGGCACGUCUCCCCUCUACUUAG